rnacentral:pre_miRNA from 1 species
GGUUGCUUGUGUGUGGAUGGUGUUCAGCAACAAGGACUGGUGUGGUUGCCUGUGUGUGGAUGGUGUUCAGCACCAAGGACAGAUGUGUUGGUGU